rnacentral:misc_RNA from 1 species
AGUCGUAACAAGGUUUCCGUAGGUGAACCUGCGGAAGGAUCAUUACAAAUAAAGCUGGUAGGAAGUGGGGUCUUGAUCUGUAAGUGGUAGAGCGAACAGUCCGGCUGCCUCCCGAAAAUGUCUUACAUGUCCCCCCACAGCCCUGAAGGCCGAAUUACAAACCCUUGAUUAUCUACACUUGUUUGCUUUGGGGGUGCUCAAGUGCCCCCAGAAGGACCCAAACUCUCCUGCAUUUAGUGACGUCUAGUAACUAUAUAAUAAUUUAAAA